UGUCGAAUGUUUGAACUUGUGCGUUUAUUUUUUUAAUAAAAAUACAGAAAAUUUUCUUCUCGAGCGCUCCUCUCUCUCCUUGACUCAUUUUUAGUGAUCUGGGGUUUUUGUUUUUGUUUCAUUUUUUGCCUUAUCUUUCUUCCAUCAUUGAAUCCGAUCACCAAAUUGGAUAUUUGAAAACUAUUGGCAUCAAAUUUUAUUUCAUUUAGUACUUUUGUGUUUCUCACCUGAGCCCUAGCGUGACAUCAAAAAGAAGAAAAUGGGAGGAGGCAGGGCAGAAGUCAAAGAUUUCUCGUGAGAGGAACUUGGAGAAGCAAAAAGAAGCAGUCAAAGAUUUCAGUUGACUUUGUGGUAGAAGAUGAGUUAAUGGAGAUUGUGCAUAAUAUGAGAAUGGAUUCUCUCAAUUUCAUCUGUGAUUAUUUUGGUCCCUUCUUCUCUCAAAUAUUCAUUAAAGUGCUGCAGUGGCAUGUCGUGGCUUUGAAGAAGAGAGGAAAAUGCACAAUUCGGCCUCCUCAGUGGAUGCCUGUCAGUGUGUAUUUAUGUUUUGGAGGCAGAAUGAAAAGAUCAAGGGACAUUUCAGGUUGUACCAUUCCAUUACAUAGAGAUAUUCAGACUUCUUUUUUGACCAAUUUUAUGUUGGGGCAUUCUUUGGAACUUGGCGAUUAGCAAUCAGAGUUUCAAUAUUGUUGAUGUUGUGCCUGUAAACAUGGAGGAUCUAACCGGUAAACAUCCUAAUAUCUUGGCAUUUGGGGUAUUAUUGAAAAAUUUUUUGGUGUUAUCCUCCUUUUUCAGUGGAUUCUGAUAUGAUGAAAUAUGCUUUCUUGCACUUACAUUUUUCAUGGAAGCUUUUGUUUCUUUUCAUGUUCUCACCCUGCACCUUUUCAUGUCUGUCUCGUUUCUGUGCAUAUAUUUGGAAAUUUUUGACAUUGUUCCUUACCUUUAUUUUAAAUAUUCUGGGGACUAAAUUGGCUAUCGAUGGUAUUU